rnacentral:rRNA from 1 species
UACGUAGGGUGCGAGCGUUGUCCGGAAUUAUUGGGCGUAAAGAGCUUGUAGGCGGUUUGUCGCGUCUGCUGUGAAAAUCCGGGGCUCAACCCCGGACUUGCAGUGGGUACGGGCAGACUAGGAGUGUGGUAGGGGAGACUGGAAAUUCCUGGUGUAGCGGUGAAAUGCGCAGAUAUCAGGAGGAACACCGAUGGCGAAGGCAGGUCUCUGGGCCACUACUGACGCUGAGAAGCGAAAGCAUGGGGGAGCGAACAGG